AUCCAAACCCAGCCAAAAUUCACCAAAACCCACCCAAACCCAUCCAAACCCAGCCAAAAUCUAUCCAAACCCAGCCAAAAUUCACCAAAACCCAUCCGAAAUCUACCCAAAGCCACCCAAACCCAUCCAAACCCAGACAAAAUCUAUCCAAACACGUCCAAAAUCUAUCCAAACCCAGCCAAAAUUCAUCCAAACCCACCCAAACCCAUCCAAACCCAGACAAAAUCUAUCGAAACCCAUCCAAAAUUCAUCCAAAUCCACCAAACCCAGACAAAAUCUAUCCAAAACCCAUCCAAAAUCUACCCAAAGCCACCCAAACCCAUCCAAACCCAGACAAAAUUUAUCCAAACCCGUCCAAAAUCUAUCCAAACCCAGCCAAAAUUCACCAAAACCCACCCAAACCCAGACAAAAUCUAUCCAAACCCAUCCAAAAUUCAUCCAAAUCCACCAAACCCAGACAAAAUUCACCAAAUCCCAUCCAAAAUCUACCCAGAGCCACCCAAACCCAUCCAAACCCAGACAAAAUCUAUCCAAACCCAGCCAGAAUUCACCAAAACCCACCCAAACCCAUCCAAACCCAGACAAAAUCUAUCCAAACCCAGACAAAAUCUAUCCAAACCCAUCCAAACCCAGCCAAAAUCCACCCAAACUCAUCCAAAAUUCACCAAAACCCACCCAAACCCAGACAAAAUCUAUCCAAACCCACCCAAAAUCUACCCAAACCCAGCCAAAAUUCACCCAAACCCAUCCAAAAUCUACCCAAACCCACCCACACCCCAGCCAAAAUUCAUCCCAAUCCACCCAAACCCAUCCAAAAUUUACUAAAAUCUACCCAAACCCAUCCAAAAUUUACUAAAAUCUAUCCAAACCCAUCCAAAAUCUACCCAAACCCGUCCAAACCCAGCCAAAACCUACCCAAACCCGGCCAAAAUUCACCAAAACCCAUCCAAACCCACCCAAACCCAGACAAAACCUACCCAAACCCCCCCAAAAUCUACCCAAACCCAUCCAAACCCAGACAAAAUCUAUCCAAACCCAUCCAAAAUCCACCCAAACCCAUCCAAAAUCUACCCAAACCCACCCACACCCCAUCCAAACCCAUCCAAAAUCCA
rnacentral:lncRNA from 1 species